CGGCGGACGGGUGAGUAAUGCCUAGGAAUCUGCCUGGUAGUGGGGGACAACGUUUCGAAAGGAACGCUAAUACCGCAUACGUCCUACGGGAGAAAGCAGGGGACCUUCGGGCCUUGCGCUAUCAGAUGAGCCUAGGUCGGAUUAGCUAGUUGGUGAGGUAAUGGCUCACCAAGGCGACGAUCCGUAACUGGUCUGAGAGGAUGAUCAGCCACACUGGAACUGAGACACGGUCCAGACUCCUACGGGAGGCAGCAGGA
rnacentral:rRNA from 1 species